UUCUCAAAAGAACUUAAUUGGAGUUAGUUCUAAAUUUUCGUAAAAAAAUAUGAAAGAACUACAUUAAAAUAGAGCAUUGCAAACACUAAGAAUACAAUUAAGCUCAGGAUGUACUAGGUGGAAUGUUUCAUUGAAAGUGAAGAAUCUAAUCAUAUUUUUUCACUCCUCCUUAUGCUGAAAGUUUCAUCACUUUUCUCCAUGAUUUGGAUCUGGCAGAGAGAGCUUUGGGAAGAGGAUUAAGAAGUGUUUUUCAACAGUGGAAUGUUGGAGAAACACUGAAAAGAGUUAGAUGAUCAGAGUUCCAAAGAAAGACAUGGCAAGAGAGGGAGUCAAGUGAGGACCACGACUACCAGAAACCCCAACUUAAUGGAGUUGGUUAGGAAGAAGUAAAGUCAAACCCAACUGGGCUGAUGUGGAACCAAGGAGUGAGGAUCAGCUAAGAUCUUAGAAAUAAAGAAUUUAGUUUUGGAUACUUGACAGAAGAUAUCCUCCCAACAAUUCUUACCAGGUUAAACUUGGGACAAUUUAUGACUGAGUACUGUCUGAGCAGGUUGUUCAUGGACCAACCUGGGUUGUAAGUUGAUUCCUCAGCUAUAGAGGUCCUGCCCCAUUAUUUGACAUUCUUGAUUCAAGGAGUGUGUAAUUAUAGGCCUAAUCAAGUUUCAAUAGUCAGCCUUAAUAAGAAUCAGAAGCUUGAAUUUCAUUGUCAACCAUCAUUUAGUUUCAUAAGGAAUGGAGUGCUGAGAAUGAUGUGGCCUUUUUGUCUACCUCCCAU